rnacentral:lncRNA from 1 species
AACGAGGAAAUUUCAGUCAUUGAACCCUUUUUCAAUCUACCAGAACCUGUUGAGAUAACUUAUCAAAGAAAAGAUGUUGUUCAUCAAUCACUCGUGGUAGUUUGUAUGCCUACCCCCUUUCCCUUUGAAAGCACCAAAGCGGUACCUUGGAAAUAUGACAUAAAUGUGGUAGAUGGAGUGGUAGAUGAAGAACCCAAAGAUGUUGAAGGUGAGAAAAGCUUGGAGAAUGUUGACACCAAUAUCACUAUGUAAGACCCUAAUUUUGACCCUAAGAUCCCUCAUGGCAUCAUAUCAUUGCUCAUUGCAUUGCCUCAAGGAUCAUAGCAUGUGUAGCUCCUUAACCCUUGGGUUGGGACUUGUGU